UCCUCUUGGUACACAGCUCCUCUCGGGCUCC
rnacentral:piRNA from 1 species